rnacentral:piRNA from 1 species
UAUCAGUUGUCCGUUAGGAAUGCCAGG